rnacentral:rRNA from 1 species
UACAGAGGUCUCAAGCGUUGUUCGGAUUCAUUGGGCGUAAAGGGCGCGUAGGCUGCGGGGCAAGUCGGGUGUGAAAUCUCAGAGCUCAACUCUGAAACUGCAUUCGAUACUGCUGUGCUUGAGGACUGGAGAGGAGACUGGAAUUUACGGUGUAGCAGUGAAAUGCGUAGAGAUCGUAAGGAAGACCAGUGGCGAAGGCGGGUCUCUGGACAGUUCCUGACACUGAGGCACGAAGGCCAGGGGAGCAAACGGG